UACNNGGUCUUGACNUCCUUUGACCNCUCGAGAGAUCGAGCUUUCCCUUCGGGGACAAAGUGACAGGUGGUGCAUGGUUGUCGUCAGCUCGUGUCGUGAGAUGUUGGGUUAAGUCCCGCAACGAGCGCAACCCUUAUUACUAGUUGCCAGCAUUCAGUUGGGCACUCUAGUGAGACUGCCGGUGACAAACCGGAGGAAGGUGGGGAUGACGUCAAAUCAUCAUGCCCCUUAUGACCUGGGCUACACACGUGCUACAAUGGAUGGUACAACGAGUCGCGAAGUCGUGAGGCCAAGCUAAUCUCUUAAAGCCAUUCUCAGUUCGGAUUGUAGGCUGCAACUCGCCUACAUGAAGCCGGAAUCGCUAGUAAUCGCGGAUCAGAACGCCACGGUGAAUANGUUCCCGGGA
rnacentral:rRNA from 1 species